AUGAACGCUGGCGGCGUGCCUAAUACAUGCAAGUCGAGCGAACAGGCGAGGAGCUUGCUCCUCUGACGUUAGCGGCGGACGGGUGAGUAACACGUGGAUAACCUACCUAUAAGACUGGGAUAACUUCGGGAAACCGGAGCUAAUACCGGAUAAUAUAUUGAACCGCAUGGUUCAAUAGUGAAAGACGGUUUUGCUGUCACUUAUAGAUGGAUCCGCGCCGCAUUAGCUAGUUGGUAAGGUAACGGCUUACCAAGGCGACGAUGCGUAGCCGACCUGAGAGGGUGAUCGGCCACACUGGAACUGAGACACGGUCCAGACUCCUACGGGAGGCAGCAGUAGGGAAUCUUCCGCAAUGGGCGAAAGCCUGACGGAGCAACGCCGCGUGAGUGAUGAAGGUCUUCGGAUCGUAAAACUCUGUUAUUAGGGAAGAACAAAUGUGUAAGUAACUAUGCACGUCUUGACGGUACCUAAUCAGAAAGCCACGGCUAACUACGUG
rnacentral:rRNA from 1 species